rnacentral:lncRNA from 1 species
UAAUUCAUUGCAAAUUCUUUUGAUUCAUUCAUAUGGUGCAUACAUAGUGCAUUCGAGUAAUGGUGCAAAUACCUGAAACUUGGCUUGCCAAUGUGGAAGGGAAGUGCUGUAUAGAAGCAUUCCAUUGUUUGAUUUGUGUUUUUGUUGGUUGGAUGUAAGUAAAGUUAAGGGAUGGCCUUUUAUGGAAUUUUAACAAUGGGAAAUUUGAUAUAAGUUCUUUACUAAACAGUCAUUGACUCCAUAUUUAAAAAACCAGCAAUGCAGUUCCAGGAUUCGGCUCAAAAUGGGUGAUGAUGGUUUUGGGACGACGACAGUUUGGCAAUCGAAUUGUAGGACAGGGUUGAAAAGUCGUACUGGCUUUAUUCUGCCAUGGACGAAACACUACCCGCAUGCAAUGAAAAUGUAGAACAAAGGUAGUGUUAGUCUGACAAUGAAAAUGCAGAACAGGGCUGGGCAAGUGGAGUCUCUGUUGCAUAUGAACACUGUUCUCUUCAGCGUUCCUUGGUUAUUACACUUAUACAUAUGGAAUGGUUGAAAGGCCGCUAAAGUGAUGUAAUAUAUUGGAAACUCGGAUUGAGGUGUUGCUCUUUCUCCUAUCUCCCUCUCCCCGGUAAUUUGUGUCUUGAACGGUUUGAAACUUCAAAAUUAAAUAGGAUUCUGGACUCUGGAGAUAAUAUGUUCUCGUAUAUUAGAGUGUAUGUCUAAUUAGUAAUUGCAAUGUAAUUUUCUUAUUUUUAUUGCACGAAAUAUACAAGCAACAAUAAUGUCACACAAGAAACCAGUCCCCAUCAAAAUAUGUCUACAGACUACAGAAAAUCCAUGGUGGAACCGAUUAUCAUCUCCCAAGAACUUCACGUUCUAUGGGCUUGAUGAAUGGACCUUUACUCUGGAAAAUAAUCCAUGGGCAGUUGCCAAUUGGGUAGAGAGACGUGGGCCGCCAGCUCGUAGAAGGAGCCCAUUCCAAAAACUAGAAACGACCUGCCGUUUGACAUAAAUAGCUUUCUUCUAAAAAACUUUUGUUUUCUAUCCCGAGUUUGUUUUUUUUGGGUUUUUCACUCUCGCCAGACCUUGAGCAGCACUUCGCGGAAGGGAAGCACAGAGGAAAAAAGAAGAGGGUUUAGGGUUUGGUUUACCAGUGUGAAACAGGGGAGAUACAUUGCCCAGAGCCUUAACCGGGACGCAAGGGUUGAACAGAUUCACGGAAUGACUACUCGAAUCACUCCCGGCGUGGGAGCCAAUUUGCUAGGCCAGCACGCCACCGAGAGGAAUCAAGACGCCACCGCCUAUGUCGGGAACCUCGAUCCCCAGGUUCAUUAACCUUCCCCUCUUUUUCUUUAGCUUCCCUUUACCCACUUUGCUGAAAUUUCAUGUGUUGCUCUUCUCAUGUUCUGUUUAGGCUUCUGAGGAACUACUGUGGGAGUUGUUCGUUCAAGCUGGCCCCGUCGGUAUGUAUUACCUCCUUCGCUUUGAUUUAAUGCUCUGCUUAGUAUUUGAGGCUCCAAUUUGAUUUUGAGAAUCUCUUUUUUUUUUGUUUUCUGCUUCAGUGAAUGUGUAUGUACCAAAAGAUAGGGUGACAAACCUGCACCAAGGUUAUGGAUUCGUGGAAUUCCGUAGCGAAGAAGAUGCUGACUAUGUAAGCUAGUUUCCGUUUUGCCUGUCUGUUUUUCCCCAAGUUAAUAGCCAAUUGUAUUACUUUCGGCUAGAUUUUCUUAACAUAGAAGUUAUAUCAAUUGUAGGCAAUUAAGGUUUUAAACAUGAUCAAGCUCUAUGGGAAGCCGAUACGAGUCAACAAGGUACGCAAUCUGUUUUCAUUUUCUAUUAUCUCUCACUUGGAGCCACAUUAUUACAAUAUAUUGGUGGAGCUCAAGAGUGUUUGGCCAGUGUUGAAUGUUUUGUUUGUGUUUUUUUUUCAGCUAGACACUAACAGAACACCUUUGCCUAUACUUUGUGUUGUGGUUUCAGGCAUCGCAAGAUAAAAAGAGCUUGGAUGUUGGGGCAAAUCUGUUCAUCGGAAAUCUUGACCCUGUAGGUUCUUUUUAUCUGAUUUCUUAAGCGGGUACCUUGUGAACAUACACAUGUUCUACUUCACUGUUGCUAUUUUUCUGUCUUUUUGCAGGAUGUUGAUGAAAAGCUUUUGCAUGAUACUUUCAGUGCAUUUGGAGUCAUUGUUUCGAAUCCCAAGGUCACUUCUUCUCCUGUAGUUUCAUUUCUGAUGUUUCAUAUACUUGUGCAUUAUACCAAUGAGAAUAGAGGUUUUGAUAGCUAGGAUGGAGGAAGAACUCCCACACCAGCCAGUGAUAAGGUUCAAUAGGUAUGGCACUGCAACGUGGCUUGAUAAACAAAAAAAAACACAAGAAUAACUCGUGCAAAAACUUCUAUUGAAAUAAGAUAGAAUCUUAUACUCUAAAUUGAACUAGAAAGCUUCUGUUGUAUAAAGAAACUACGUGAUUCUUACUACUAGGAAGGAUAAAAUAACUCAGAAUACUACGAGAAACAAUUAUUAGUAUUCCUAACUAAAAAUAACUACUUAUCCUAGUUCAGAUUAAUUCAUAAAUAAGUACUACUAUUCUCUAAAGACUUGUACUUGAAUAUGGAGGGAUGAAACAAUCAGAUGAGGAAUAGAUUAAGAUUGAAGCUAACUCCACAUCCAUCAGUAAAAUCCACUCUAAUGACUAGAUUUGGUCUUUAGAUGUGAAUUUUUAUUUUGAUUUUUUCCUAACUUGUAUCCAUCCUGUAGCUCUCUUCUCUUGAAUUGGUUCAUGCUUUUUGUAUGAGUUUUUUCAUAAAAGAAUUUUAAAUCUUGAAUUGGUUUUUGCUUUUUAUAUAAAUGAAUCAGUUAUAAGUGUUCUUAAUUUUGCUUGAAAUGAGACUAGGAGAGCUUGAUUUUAAUGGUAUAUAUUAGAUUUAGAUUAAAGUAGUAAACAAGUUCUGUAGGAAUCCGACUCGCUACUGAUAUGAUAGAAGUUAUAUAUUGUUAUUAAUGUACUCUUUUUUAAGGCCGGGUUGUCUUCUUUUAGGAUGUCAGAAGUUUGUAAACCAUGUUUAUUCAUCUUUUGCACUGAUUCAUAACUCUUUUCAUUUUACUAGAUUAUGAGAGAUCCAGAAACGGGGAAUUCUCGUGGAUUUGGUUUCAUUAGUUAUGAUUCUUUUGAGGCUUCAGAUGCUGCUAUUGAGGUAAACUCCUCCUGUCAAAUAUAAUCCAGAAUUGUAUUUCGUAAUUUAAGGCUCUUGUACAACAUUUUUAUGUGCUGAUGAUCCAACAAUAUUUUGGUUGAUAAUUUUUGUGCGGACGUUUGACAGGCAAUGACUGGUCAAUACCUUUGCAACCGUCAAAUCACAGUCUCAUAUGCGUAUAAGAAAGACACUAAAGGAGAGCGUCAUGGUACCGUGGCAGGUGAGGCGUGCUUCUUACAGUCUGUUGGUUCUUUGUGUCGCCCAUGAGUGUGCUGUGUGCCUAGCAAAAAUAUUUUAAUUUUGUUUCAUAUUGCAGAGAGAGUGUUAGCUGCCAGCAAUCAGAAUACUCAGAAAAGCCGGCCUCAUACUAUGUUUGCCAGUGGUCCUCCAUCACUAGCUGCUGUAGGGCAGGCAAAUGGUGCUAUGGGUGCGCCAGUGCCUCCGCGUCCCUUUGGAAAUGGUGUUGUUCCUCCAGGACCAGUCCCUCAAAUACGUGCUCCUCCCCCACCAAAUCCAGCCUUCUCCCAAAUGCAGAUGGGUGGGCAACCCCAUUGGCAAGGCCAGCCUCCACAAGGCAUGCCGCAUAUGCCUCCACCUCCAGUUCAGUACCGGCCACCUCCUCCAAACAUGCCACCACCUCCUCCCCAGGGAAUUCCAGGACUCCCAAGACCUCCACCCCAGCCAAUGGCAAUGGGAGGCCAGCCACAAAUGUGGCAGCAGCCACCUCCUCCUCAGCAGUUUGCUGGGAGGCCUUUCAUGCAACAAAUGCAGCCACCUCCACCGCCAAACAUGCACCAUCCACCUCCAAAUUAACUGCAACAGCUAUUGCCCUUGACCCUCUCAUCAGCUCCAGGUUUUUGCCACAAGCUAUUUUUCAUCGUCCAUUAUUUCAAUAUCGGAACAUUCAACCAUAGUUAGGAAGACAGAUGAUAAUAUGCGAACAAUUUCCUAGAAACCAUAUGUAUCUAGUUCACUUAAAGCUUUAACUUUCUGGCCCUGCUUAGUUAGUAGUACAAUUCCCUCAAGCUCUGAAUAUGCUUUUUCCGCAGAUGUUGGUAUCAACCUGGUUAUAAGGCUAUAAAUCAAGGAGAUUUGGCCAUCUUUGUACUGAUGCACUACUUAUUGGCCACUUAUCAAAGAUUGGUUAAACAGAGAAGCUUUAGUUGAGUAAAGCAUUCUUUCUGGUGGCAUGUGGGAUGAAAUGGACCAUGCAUGGUAGCAUAUGUGAGUGGAAACCCUGAUCCUCCUUGAAGGGGUAAAGUAAAGUUAGUUUAAAAAUCAUGUGCUGCUGUUUUACUUUUAGUACCUUUAACUGAAAGUCAGCCCUACAACCUUUUCCCUCCCUCUAUAAGGUACCCAAGUUAGUUUGUGUACUGAAUAGUUAGAAUUAGUGGGUUUGCUGCACAUUCGCUAUAAUGGUGUUCUGUGUCGGAUUGGCAUUUUUGAAAGUAGAAAUUUAUUUUAUUUCGUCCAAUUCUGGUGAAGCUUUGAGCUCCCCGUUUGUAUGCUGAUUCAUCCGUUACCCUGCCCGUGAUUGGGAAAUUAGUGGGAGCCUAAUGAUUGGGAGUUACAUGUUUUAGUGACAUGUGGCAUGUCUUGUACUUGUGGUGUGGAAGGUGACGUACUUGAGAAUGUGAUGGAAACCAGUUUUAAGGUCCGUGAAUACAACUCAAUCGGCAUUACCAGAGUUUCUGGUUUCGCAGUAGCUUCCUUCCUUCUUCAGCAUACUUUUCUUUCUUUUUUGCACAUUAGACUACUACAGUGUAGGGUUUAGCCUCUUUGUUUAGGAGUACAUGUACGUACUCCAAGGGUCCUUUGCUCAUCGUCCAACCUUGCCUAACAAAAUUUGACACUUUUCAUCAUGCUCGUCUCUGAGGAGCUUUUAUUUUAUGUAUACCCAAAGUUGAGAAAAUCAGAGAUAUUUUGAUAUGCAAGUAGUUUACCAGCAGAUAGUAGAUACCUAUCUUAAAGGGCAAAGAAUGUGGGAUGAAAUUUACCAGCGGUUAGCACUCAAGAAACAUUUUGUUGAGUUUUAAAUUUUCCGCUCGAGUAAGAAAAGCUCAGGAUUUCAUUUGACAUUUCACUUGUCAAAUCAAACCUUAAUUCUGUAUCUAGUGUUGUUAUUAGUGUUGAUGAGCAAGGCACAACACGGAGUUCAUAAUUGUUGUUAUUAGUGUUGAUGAGCAAGGCACAACACUGAUUUCAACGUCAAGUACAUGGGCCGGUAGGAUUUAAGUGUAGGUGCGGUGAAAGCUCGAGGCCAGCCAUAGACAGUAGAAUAAUAGUGAUGGACGUUAAUCCCCUGGUGCUGGAAAGACAACGUGUCCCAAGAAGAUGUCCUACAGUCGUAGUCUCCAUUUCACAAACCUAGGGAUCAUCAAAGUCUAUCUUCAUGCUUUUGUUGGUUAACUGGCGUGCCCAUGGAACUCACCAGUUUCCUCAUUCCGGGAUAUCUAAUUCCUCAAACAUAGUGUAACCAACUCAAUAGGCAGAGGCGAGAGGAUUUGAAAAUGUCGAGAACUAACGUAGGGGAUCGGAGAAAUGAGGAUGCAAACAAACAAACUAAGAGGCCGGUUAAAUUCUAGUCCGAAAAAACUCAUAAUUCAGCUUCCCACUUGGCUGCACCACAUAAAACCUGGGCUGCCAUAAAUACCAAAAAUCUUAUUAAUAUCGCGAGGCUGGCCAAAUGCCAAGACCAAGGUCUCAUUCUCAUUCACUUGAUCAGCCACAAGCCACAAGAUGUGUGGCAAUUAAACUUCCCUCUCUUUACAACUUACCCCCCAUUCGUUUUCCUUCUAUUAUCCAUUGAAUGCUCUGAUUACGACCCACAAAAAAACGUUGGUUUCCUAUACUUAGCAUAUUCAGAAUCAUGCUCACAAACUGCCAGACCAGAACUGGAUUAUUAUAGACAAAAUCGAAGAAUGUUGGUCUUCUCUUCUCUUCUCUUCUCUCUCAGGCCAUAAAUGAACCAUGUCCCCCAUUUUCAACCGCUUUACAUAUAUAGCAGUACUAUUUUAUCAAUUAACAAGAUAUGAACUUGACCUUGAUAAAGAAGCAAAAUCCAAGGAUUCAAGACUUGGCUAUUUAGUGGUGUGGGGGGCGGGGGCGAAGUUGGACACUUUUGGUUUAGAUUGGAACUUCACUUGAUUUCCUUCCUCAAAAGUUGGGUUUCCAAUCUGUCCUUCCACUUCCCCCCCACCCACAACCCAAGAUAGCAACUAUAUAGGCAGCCAAGAAUUGGAAAGUCUUGUUAUGAUCAAACUUCUUUAGUGCCUAUAACUCCCAACCCCAACUAGAAACCAUAACCAAAACUCCCCUCCCUCAUAUGGUCUUCCUCCAUAACAACAAAGCCAAGUCUUGUUCUUCCUCCACCUUUUCCCCACAUUAUCCACUAUGCAUGUGAGCUCCCUUCAUCUUAUAUCUCAACACUCUGCAGACAUUAGGAUAGAGCCUCCCAAACUCUUCAUCUUUCAAGACUCUCCCUUCACUCCAAGAGACCAAACCAGAAAACUGAUCCAAGUUAUGCGCCAAAAGCCCAAUGAAACCAUACAGCAGCCAAUUGUGUGGGUUCCUGGACCUGUGAUCAUUGGUGCAGGACCUUCAGGGCUAGCUGCAGCAGCAUGUCUCAAAACCAAAGGAAUCCCAUUUCUAAUCCUUGAGAAAGGAACCUCAAUAGGUUCCUUGUGGAAGUUUGGAACUUAUGACCGUUUGCAACUCCACCUUCCGAAGAAGUUCUGUGAACUACCUUACUUGCCAUUCCCACCUGAUUUCCCUGCAUACCCAACAAAGCAACAGUUCAUAUCUUACAUGGAAGGCUACGCCAAGGACUUCACCAUCAAACCAUUGUUUUGUCAGGAGGUUCGAGUCGUUCAGUAUGAUCCCACCAUGGGAUUCUGGCAGGUUCAAGCCAGUGAGUACCAGUUUAUAUGCCGGUGGGUGAUUGUCGCCACUGGAGAGAAUGCUGAGCCGGUUCUUCCUGAUAUACAAGGGAUGAAAUGUUUCAAGGGAAGAACUUUACACACCAGCAGCUACAAAGAUGGUGCUGAAUUCAAAGGCAAGAAAGUUCUGGUCGUGGGUUUUGGGAAUUCUGGCAUGGAAGUUAGCUUGGAUCUUUUUAACAAUGGUGCUGAUGUUUCUGUCUCAAUUAGAAAUAAGGUAAUAAAGAAAGUUGCCUCCUUUUCAGUUGGUUUGCCUCUCAAAUUUUGAUUCUUUACUUCUUGACAUUCCUUUUAUUCAUGUUGCAGCUUCAUAUAUUGCCAAGAGAGGUUCUAGGAAUCUCAACUUUUGCUCUAUCAAUGUUGCUGCUAAAGUGGUUCCCUGUGAAGCUAGUUGACAAGUUGCUUAUCCUUGUCUCAAGGCUUGUUCUUGGGGACACUGGUAGAGCUGGCAUCACAAGACCUGAAAUUGGCCCCUUGGAACUUAAGAACUCUACUGGGAAAACUCCUGUCCUUGAUGUUGGAGCUUUUGCCAAAAUCAAGUCUGGCCAAAUCAAGGUAAAGAGAAAAUCAUGUUAUAUCAAAACUUGUCACUAUUUCAUGGCUUGUUCUUCCCAUAUAUGUUCCAUGAAUUGUAUCUCCAUUCGUCAGAUUGCGGGCGGGCUUCGAAGAUUCACUAGGAAUGGAGUCGAGUUUGGGGAUGGAACAGUGAAGGAAUUCGAUGCAAUUAUUCUAGCAACAGGUUACAGAAGCAACGUAACUUCAUGGCUCAAGGUACGCACGAGCUCUACAUAGAAUUCGUUGGAGGGGAUUCUAUUAUAUUCUUAAUUAGUUACAUUUGUCUUUGCAUUUGAGAAGGAGGAGAACUUCUUCAAUGAAAAGGAUGGGUACCCAAGAAUGGCAUUCCCAAACAAUUGGAAAGGAAACAAUGGAGUUUAUAGCAUUGGAUUCAACAGGAGAGGGUUGCUAGGAGCUUCCAUGGAUGCAGAAAAAGUUGCAGAAGAUAUUGCAAGACAGUGGAACUCUGAGACAAGGCAUUUGAGGGUCCAGCCAUAGCCAAAGAAGAACACUUUCUUUACCUAGCUAGCAAGAAAAUAAUAGUAGAUAACAGUAGUAGAUAGUUUGCUUCACUUUGACCAAUAUUUUUGUACUAGUUUUCAAAAGUAAGUACAGAUCUGACCACCCUCAACCCAAAGAAAGACCAUUUUACUAUUUUAAAUUUGGACAGUGAGUGAGUGCUGCUGCAAAAGGAAACAAGUUCCCGUGGGUACUAAAAUCCCAAGGGUAGAACUACCGGAGAUUCGUGUGAUGGAGUAGAAUUGCAGAAGCAUUUCUAUUUUCAAUCAUUCUUCUCAAAUGAUUCAAAUUGGAUUCAAACUGCAACUUUGGGGCUUCCGUGUCCCACUAAUCCACUAUGCAAGUUUCAUCUUCUCUGAUAUUUGCUAUAAAAAGUGACAACUUGUCAAUCAUAAAUAUAGCGAGAAACAUAAAUUACAAAAACAGAAAUUGUAGACAAAAACAAAUUUGAGAAAUGGAAUCGAAAUUGUGUUUAGCUCACAAUUUUCUGAAUUCUAUUUUGGGAUGAGAAAUUACAUGACGAUAAUACUUCAUACUUAUUCUUCUACCAAAAUACUAAAAUUAGCUAAAAAGAACAUGACAAAUACAAAUUGAAUAUUUUGAUGAUCAUUCUACAUUCGAUUUGUUCAUGUUUUUCAGUUAUUUGUUGUAGUUGAACUCCAUUAGUGUUAAAGAAUGUGUGCUCCCUCUGAAUCUACUUCUAAUAUUAAAUGUUUACAAUCAUCGCUCAUGAAUUUCAAUGUACAACCCGUCAAACUUCAUAACCUAAGAGAAAACCGAACUGAAUUGAGCAAAGUACCCCAUCGAAUGGAAACUAAACAUGAUGUGUAUAGUUUAAGAAUGAUUGGAAAGGAAAUGGAAGUAGCUAGUUGUAAUAUAAGUUGAUAAAGAAUAGUGGGUAGCAUGUACGGCUGAUAAUGAGAGUGGGUUUUGGAAUAUGAGGAAACAAUUGGCUGGGUUAUCAUGUGAAGGAGCUAUCACAGCAAGGUCAGUGGUACAAACACUAGAAAGAAUAAAAGAGAAAUGGUCCAGUUAGGAAUGACAGAAGAGAUAUGCCCAGAAAUACCCACAAAAGAGUACAAAGAUAAUCACGAUGAAUCACACACACAACAACAACAACAAGCAAGCAAGCUGCUUCCAAUUCAUUCAUAGCUAGACGACUCUGAGAGGGACAACUGGGGACAAAAGUUGCAUUCACUCAUUUGCAUGCGCUCCCCUCCCUUUUCUUUUGUUGUUAUUAGACACUGUGCACAUUGAUUAUAUGACAGACAAAACUCUAUUUUGUCUAAAGAGAGUUCUUCCGUCGAUAGAAUUAUGUGCUGGUAAUUUAGAGGGGAUUUUUUUUGGUAAAUACGAUUUAUUAUGAAACAACCUAGAAAAACGAUAUAAAACUAAAAUAAUGCAGAAUGAUCAUUAAGAAGACGUACACAGUACCCCGUUGGCUGUGUAGCGUCGCGCUGUACAGCCUAGGCCUCCAACGGCUAAUUGGUAGCAGUCAUUACAUACUAGCCAUUCGGGCAUAGGCUGCACAACGCGACGUUGUGCAGGGCCUGCUAAUGGCCAUCUUGCAUUAUUUUAGUUUCAUAUCAUUUUUUGAUAAUUUCGUAACAAAUCAUGCCCAUAAAAAUCAAUUUGAAUGUACUGAAUUUGGAAUCUAUACACACCAUAUAAAUAUACACUUAUACAAUGUUUUUUACUCUUGGCUGGUCGUCUUUCUAUCUCGAAAAAGAGUCCGGCCAAAAUCCUAUUUUUGAAAAUUUUGAAUGUGUUUUAAUCGAUCCGUUUCAUUUUAUUAUUUUAUAUGAAGUGAUCAAAUAGUAAUAUUCUAAUGGUAAAUUUGUGUAUUUGAAACUUUUGAUGAAGAGGUUUUGAAUUUCAAUUGAAUUACACUCUAUACACAUAAACCUAUGCUAUGUUUAUCUUUCGUCUUUUAUAUAUCUUAUAUAGGUGGAGAAGCCCGUCACCUUCAACGCUUCAUGAUUGGUGAAAUUUUGAAUAUUAAUAAGAAGAGAAGAAGGAAUUAUAGCAGAGCAGACAACUAAUUAAUCCAGAAACACCAAAUAAUAUCUGCAUCCACUAUGCAUCCACAUACAGGCUUCAGUUCAAGAAAGGCCUGGUGAGGACAAAACCCCAAUUCCUCUUAUAGACCCAUAAAUGGCAUCAACCAGUAGGGGAAGCUUGAGAGCCCAGCAGUGUUCCAUUUCCAACCCACUAAGCUAUUGAAGGACCUACUGGUCUGAUGACGGCAGUGGCUAUCUGCUACUGGCUAGUGCUGCCAAUUUGGUUAGUUAUCUCAUGUCUGAUCCAAAGUUCCAGACAUUAUUUUAUUAUAGUAAUGGUCUCUCCGUACUAAUAAAUUAUUCAUCGCUCCUACUAACGGAAGCCCAAUAAACUAACUAGCAACUAAGCCCAAACCCAAGCCCAAUAAGCAAUGAAAUACUAGGUAGUCAUGCAGCCCAUGAAAUCUUAUGAUCCAAUAUUUUUUUUAUCCGUCCAAAAUAGAAAGAAUAAAUAUUAUAACUUUUAAAAGUAUUUAAUGUAUUGAAUUUAAAUUUUAAAUUUUUAGGUCAUUAGUAUACAAUUAUCACUGGAGUAACUCUUCAUAUUAAUAAUUUAGGUUUGGUUUGACUAGUAAAAUGUAAAAUCAGAAUAAAAUAAUUAAAUAAAUUUUAAAAUAUAUUCCGUUGAAAUUUAUGUUUUUCACUUAAAUGAGAAAAUAUUGUCAGACCUANNNNNNNNNNNNNNNNNNNNNNNNNNNNNNNNNNNNNNNNNNNNNNNNNNNNNNNNNNNNNNNNNNNNNNNNNNNNNNNNNNNNNNNNNNNNNNNNNNNNNNNNNNNNNNNNNNNNNNNNNNNNNNNNNNNNNNNNNNNNNNNNAAGAUUGAGUGCUCCCCCCACCCCCGGGAAUUUCCAGAAUGAUGUAAAAUGCAAUUUUUAUGGGCAAGUAGCUGGUGGUGUAGUGGUAAGAGUUUUACUACAAUGAAAAGUGACUAAAGAAUCAUCUUCAUAUUUAGUUUCACUUAUUUGAUCCUUGAAAGUUUAUAAAUAGGUAAAGAUUUCUUUGAAAAAUUUCUAUUUUGUCACUUAACUUUUUAAAUAUAUUUAUAUGAUUAUCAUUAUUAAUUAUUUUUAUUAUAUACAUUCACAAAUGUCGCCCCUCCCGUCCUAAAUUCCUGGUUCCGCCACUGUAACCAAGUAAUUGUAAAUGUGAGAAUUGAGCCAAAAUAUGAUUGAUAUGUAUCGAGUAUUGACCCAAAAUUAUGAUUAAUAUACACCGAGCCAGAUUCAAAAUAAUCGUAAAUAUAUAUUUGAAUUUACGAUUCAAAGCCGAAAUGGUCCUAAGCCAUAACUCGCCUGUAUCCGGCCGCUGAUGCAGGCCUGUUGUUGGGAGAGAAAUCACAGGGAAAACAUUACAUAAAAAUGGAGCAACAAAGCCACAGAUGGAUAGGCCGUAGUAGUUAAAAUGAAGGCAAGAUCCAGAAAUGAAGGAAGCAGUAGUGGUCGUCUGGGAGUCAAAACACAUGUCUUUGAAUGCAGCUAGCUAGCUAGCAAUAGCAGCAUACAUAAUAAAUAAAUAAAAAGGUGAAGGAAAAGCUGCUUUAAUAUUGGUCCUCCACAUGAGUCGGCUUUCUUCUCUUGUCAAGAAAAGUUGUCUUGUAAAGUUAAUUUGGAGUAACAAGUGAAUUUGUAGUCCUUUUACUUUUACCUCCUGCCUUUUGUAACGGGAGGAUAGAAUAAGUUACUUUCUUUCAUGGUACAAAUAUAUUCCGACGAGACCAAACAUCAAACAUGCAUCAUAGUCUUUGGUCCUUUUUCCUUCUCUUAAUUUCGUGCUUUGUUUCAUAGCUCAUAUAUCCAUAUGUUGGUACCACUCACUAGUCACUCUCAGAUCAACCAAGCUUCACUUCCAUUGGUCAUACUCAUAUCACAGGUAUAUAUAUAUAUAUACAUUAUUGAAUAAUAUUAAAUUGGUGUACCGAGUACUUUCACUUGUUAGAAUUCAUUAGUCCAUUCAUUUUUUAGAAGCAAUCUCAAUGAUUCAUAAUUACUUUAUUUUUGAAUUUUAAAUAAAUCAAAAUCAAAAUAAUAAAAUGGUCACUCUAUUUAAUUUAAGUACACAUCAAACUUUGAAAAUUUUUUACCUUGUCAUAUUGGGAUAUGACCAUGGUGAAUUCAAUUCUCACCAUCCUACCAAUAUCAUUAUACUCACUAAUCAUUAAAAUUCUGUAAAUUCUACUCGAGUAAACUAGUAACCUAACUCUAUCUAUUGAUUCAUNNNNNNNNNNNNNNNNNNNNNNNNNNNNNNNNNNNNNNNNNNNNNNNNNNNNNNNNNNNNNNNNNNNNNNNNNNNNNNNNNNNNNNNNNNNNNNNNNNNNNNNNNNNNNNNNNNNNNNNNNNNNNNNNNNNNNNNNNNNNNNNNNNNNNNNNNNNNNNNNNNNNNNNNNNAGCAAAAACAGAAAAUUUGAAUUCUUAAGGAAGGAGAAGUUGGAUUUAAAGAAUCACUACAUGCAAUCGAAAUUAUACAAUUGCAAGUGGGAGUACUCGGUAUACUGGGUGCACUGAAGAGUCCACCAUAUAUAUAUAUAUAUAUAUGGNNNNNNNNNNNNNNNNNNNNNNNNNNNNNNNNNNNNNNNNNNNNNNNNNNNNNNNNNNNNNNNNNNUAUAUAUAUAUAUAUAUAUAUAUAUAUAUUAAUUACUGGACCAAUAAUCCUUAGCCUUGAAAAUUUGAGAGCUAAUCCGCUCUGAGUCUCCCCCUUCGAGCUUCUUUAGCAAUGAAGUUUGCUUUCUUGUUAUUUGCUCGUGGGGUGAAGGAGAUAGAGAUGUUUGAGUUCCGGGAUAGCUCGUCAGUGAUGGAUCCUAGGUAGCAUAGGCAUUCCCAAGGCCAUACGUGCUUAGGUUGCGGGCGGCUGUAACAAGUUCCAGGCAGUCAGUUCGGAUGGUGGGCCGUCCGUCAAGAGCGGACGAUGCUUUAAUGGCUCGGAGCAGCGCAUAAGCCUCAACAGCAAUGGCAUGGGAGCAUACAAGAGUGCCAGCCUGUCCAUCCAAUAUUUGUCCUUGUGUAUCAGUUAUGAUGAAGCCGUAGCCUCCCUUCUGGGAGUCUCGUGGAAGGACCCGUCACAGUGCACUAUCCUCUGGGAAGUGCUUGGCAGUGGAUGAAUAAUUGGGUUGGGGGUGGGGACUGGGGGGCUGUGCUGGUAGUGGGAGGUAGAAUCCAAUCGGCGGCGUCCUUAAGAUUCGACCGUGAAGGUCCGCAGUUGUGGCGGAUGAGUGUCUGAAGAUAGCCUCGUUACAAUCCUUCCACACAUUCCAGCAUGUGGCCACUGUAGUAUCAAGGAUUUGGGGCGGUGCUGUUAGCAAUAAAUCCACUAUCCACGCAAGGAAAGAUAUAUAGACCGUUAUAAAGUCUUUAGGAAUAACUUUAUGUACACACACCUUAUUGGUAACUGACUUCUAUAUAAUGCGUGCUUAAUUAAUUACUUCCAAUUUUUUAUUUGGAUCAAGUACUUUCAAAAAAUUCCUUCACCUACAUAAUCAUCUUGAAUUAUAUGUCAUUAAAUGAAUGAAGUUGGAAUUCAUACCCGUACAAAACCGGUUGGUUUAGUCAGUUGAUUGCAUAUCGAAUAUGUGGCCGAUUCAGUAUAAUGAAGCCAAAGGUAUGUCAUCAACCAAACCGACCAAUGUGCACUAACGUAACUGAACCGUCGCGUAUUGCGGACAUACAAAAUAAGUAAAAUAAACAACACUACUAGAAGCUUCAUAUUGAAACUACACCAAGGAUUUGAAUUUUAUUGUUAAGUAAAAUAUUUAGUUUAAUUUAAUAUUAAAAAUAAUUCAUGUGAACAGCUAGAGCUGAUAUACCGCUAGCAUUUCAGAAUAGUACUUAUUCGGUUCAGUUUGCAAUCAUUGGUACUAAUCACAAUUUAGGAGCCUGUUAAUUAUAACAAAAUUUGAAAACAAAUGGGAAGCCGUGAGAGUCUCUGAUGGCGCUCCUAAUACUGUGCGUUAAUAGUAUGAUAUCUACUGCCAUGCAAAAUGUCGCAGCUGUGAGGAACAAGACACAAUCUGGAUUCUGGGCAGACAUCAUCCCGCAGAUUUUGUAAACAAUAUGCAUGCACUCUUACAAAACUACUCGACGUUUCACGUGCAUGGGUUGGCUGUUUGCUUAGAUCCAAACUGAUCAGACAAACACGAGACACUGUAUAUGCAGAACAAGGCACAACCACGAUUGUUGUCUGCGAUACCGGUCGAAAUUCCAAAUUUGAAGGUCCAUUUUUAUAUAACUUAUUAUACAUAUAUUUGAAUCUAAAUUUAUACAUAUAUCCGUCUGCGUCUCUGGGAUCUCAUUCAGAUGAAAGAAAAUUGGGGUAGGGAUUUGAGAGGAUUUCGCUAGAAUGAGCGGCGACGGCAUCUAAGAUUUGAGAGCGGGGGAUUUCACGAAUCUAUACCCUAUACAAAAUGUUGUCAUUUUAGUAACAGACUGUCCGUCGGGCGGAUACCGGGGCGGAUAGUUAUAGAUCCGACACCAUCCAUAAUCCAUCUCCAACGAAUUUUGGGGCCCCGCUGCCGUAAACGAGCCUAAUUAAUCGGGUAAAUAAGUCCAAUUUUCGGACAGACCUGGCCGGUUUUAAAAAAAUGCCAAUCCUACAUAAAAUGUCAUCAUAUUGGACCAGGGAGUCAGUUACAUCCGAAAUAAGAGUAAGCAGUCGUGGGAAAAUAUGAAAAAAAAAUUCGUUAUUUCUUAGAAAAAAAACACCAUAUAUAUAUAUUAUUAGCCGAUAUGAUUGAUCUCGAUUCAAAAUUUUUAAAUCACAAAUAUAUAACUUUAUUAACAAAAUUACUCGAUUUGAACAUAUUUCCACACGACAUAUGACCACAAAUAUAAAAAAAACAUCAUAUCAAUAUUCAUUUGUGAACGUAACUAAAUACCUUUGCGCUAGUACUCCACUUAGACAAUACAAGAUCAAUACACUAUACUUUUGGUUUUUUAUUUUUGCAUAUGAUCACAGUACUGAUUUUCCUGAUUUAUCGGUACUUGAUUGGAACAUAGUGCAAAAAAGAAAAAGAAAAAAAGAAGAAGAAAGAAUACAAGAAAAGGGCAAACGUAAUGUUCCAUCAUCACGUUUAUAUAAGUUGGUGGGUCGCCUGAUGAGCCAACCCUUGAAACAAAAACAAAACAGAAGUUAGAUAAAGAUUCUUAUGGGGAAGUUGAGAAUGAGAGGAGUGAUCUCUUCUUUCCAAAACUGCCGCUCCAAAGAUCCAUCCACCCUCCCUGUCCUCCCUUCCUCUUCUUCCUCCUCCGCCGCACUUCAGUACUCUUCCAUCAAGCGCCAUGUGUCCUCCGCCAUCACCUCCGUCGGCUGCGGCUGCGCUUCCGCUUCCUCCACCGCCUCCUCCCACUCCCACUCCUCUCGCCACCCUAUGAAGCACGCCUUCCAGUGGGAGGAGGACGAUAAAUGGCUCGUGGUCGCUAACAUUACUCAAAUCCGCCGCAGCGAAAUUUCCGCGGCCUCGGUGGUGGACCCCACGCUGCCGACGCCAUCAAGGACGAAACGGCGCGUCCGUAAGAACAAAACGACGACGAGGGGUAUGAUCCGCAUCUCAACCUCCUCAGCCGGCUCUGGAAUCUUCAGCGACGACUGUGAUGACAACGACAUCGAAACCGAGGCGUUGGUGUCGUCUUCCAGAAGCUUCUCUACCGGAGAUGAUGAUUCUUCUUCAUUCAACCCUCAGUUGGAGACCAUACGCGAAGCAGCAGCUGCUGACUCGAGGAGGAAGAUGAAACGGCGUCGGAGACGGAGGAGGAAGAAGAGUGAUGAGGGGAGGAAGAGCGGUGAGGUUGGGUCGCCAGCGAGGCUGUCGAAGUUCCAGAAGUGGGUGAUGCCGGGGUGCAGGGUGGCAGAAGGGAAAGUGAGGGAGAGCUACGCGGUGGUGAAGAAAUCAGAGGACCCGAAGGAGGAUUUCAAGAGGUCGAUGGCGGAGAUGAUAAUGGAGAAGGAGAUGUACGAGGAGGAUGAUUUGGAGGAGCUGCUUCAGUGUUUCUUGUCCUUGAAUUUAAAGGCUCACCACGGGGUCAUCAUCCAGGCUUUCUCCGAGAUCUGGCAGGAGAUUUGUUAGUUUAAUUUAAUCUAAUUAAUUACCAUGCAUGUUUUUGACUGGGAAGUUUAUAAUUUGGUCAGAAUCAGAUAAGUCUGCAGUUGUUGUUUCAGUAAAUUAGUAACUAGUAAGCAAUGAAAUUGAGGAAAAUUAUAAACCAAAAGCUUUUUGUAACUUUUUACCCUGAUGAAUCUUUGAAGGGGUAAUGUGGGUUACGUGCAACAGUGAAAAGCUGAUAAGGAGCUCCAGUAAAGCUAUCUAGCUACGUACCUACCUUCUCAAAACAAUAAAAAUUAUGGCAUAUCACAAAUUAAAACCAAAUUACUGACUAUACUGAGAGCUCGCACAGUUCUGACGUCGGAUGUUCUGCAGAAUAUAUAGUACAACUCCUUCUCUGAGAUGGAUAUAUUGAGGCACGAAUUAGUGAAGCACGUUAUAUUUGUAACGAUUUCAUUCGUUAAUCAUCACUGAUUGGUUCUCAACAACGUCUAUUUUAUGUAAGAUGGUACUUAUGUAGCAUUAAUGAUGAAUUAUGCAUCUUCGAGAUGGUCGAUCGGGAGCAUACGUUACAUAGUGGCUUAGCUUCCAUUCAUUGAGGAAGACUUUAAAGUAUGCAUAAUGAUAGCCUGGGCAGAGUGAUUUUACUCUGCUGAUAAUCUUUAGCACAUGCUUUUAUCAUAUAGCAAUUCGUUACACCAGCCAAUCAAUAAUGAUGAUUUUAUAAUUAUUGAAUUAUUAUUUAUAUUGUCGCUAUCGGGGCUUGAUUUGAUACGUGGUCAAUGAAAUUUAGUUCUUCAAAUUUUUUUAUCAUAAUAUAACUUUUUAAAAUUUCAUUAAAUUUUUUACCUAUCAAACCAAGUUUAGGUAAUUAUCCACUUUCUCUUCACUACCUAACUAAUAACUCGACAUUGUCACUAUCACAUUGCAUGGGGAAUUAGUGAAGGGAAAAGUCCAAAUGAAUCGGAGAGUUGCUCUGAUGUGGUAGAAUUGUGUGUUGACGAUCUGAAGAUAUUCAGUUUGAACCAAAUUACACUCCCGCAAUAUAUACGAAUAUCUAUCCACAUACCGUUUCUAAAAUUCAUACCAUCAACAUUCGAAUAUCAAUAAAAAAUUAAAAUGACAAAGACUACAGGGUCCAAAUUCAACGAGGGGAUAGAGAGUGACUGAGUGAAUGACUUACAAUAUAGACAUGGAUGUUCCCAACAAAAAAAUGAGAAGCAAGAUUAGAACUUAGAAUAAUAAGGUAGGAAGAGACAGAGUGAAGGGUCGUAGUUAUGAGGUGGGUGGGUUUAGAUAGAUUCGUCAGGGCUUUUGCCUUCCCCAAAAUCUAAACAUCUUCUCAUCCAUCUUAUCCUUACCCUGAGUCCCCCUUUGUCUCUGUUGCCACUUAUACUGUUACACAAACAAGGGUAGGGAGCUCAGGAGUUGGUAUGAAAAGUGCAACCCCCUUUAUUCCUCUCUAUGCUUUAAUCUACUUCAUCCACAUGCAUGCUAAUAGGCCUGGGAAUUGGGAAACGGGAUUCGUAAUUUCUUGGUCUCGUUCUCGUAUUAUUGGAAAAUUUUCGGGAAUUUUAGUGUGACUGCUGGAUUUGUGGCUGAACUCGAACGUGUAGCAGUCAGCUUCCAGGUAUAUUGUAAACUUGUAAUGUUCAAUAUAAGUAGAGACUGGAUGGUGUUUGAUGUUUGAUGGAGUUCAAGACUGGGUGGUGUUUGAUGUUUGAUGGAGCUCAUUUUGGAUUUGUUGUUACAGAGUCUGGAUGGUAUUUGAUGGAGCUCAUGAGUUGUAGUAGUUUGAAUGGAGUGUAGGGUAUGUAGUUUAAUGGAGUAUAGAGGACUAGGGAUUUAGUUUAAUAAAUUAUUUUGUUUGUAUGAAUUGUCAUGGGUUGUAACCAUGUUGGCCUUUGCAAUGAUUUUUUGACUUGUGGUAAUAAAAUAGAAAUUAUAAAAAAAUGUAAUUUUAAAUUUAAAUUUUCGAUCUAGAAUAAAAUUACCCUAAUCAAAUUUCAAAAAUUUGGAAAUUCGGGACUUUACAAGUUCGGGAACGGAUCCCAUUCCCGUCUCAAUUUCCAGGCCUACAUGCUAAGCUAGCAAGCGGGCUCAUCCCCCGAUAACUUAAAGAUGAGGAGGGAUCACUGCUGUACGUAUUAUCAGUUGCGAUAGUGCAUCCAUGCCUGUCAUUGCAACCGAGCAAACUCACUCCACACGCCAUCAGAGACUAGUAUACUAUACCAGCUAUAUCCAAUCACGGCUCGGAUUCCCACGUCUCUGUACAUACUUGUCAACAACAAACUACACACCAAAACUACAUUUUGGCGCAUAAAUUUUACUCUCUCAAAUGGUUACAUUCUUUGUUUUUUUUCUUGGAUCGUAGAUAUCGUGUUCAAAAGACACAAGUCCAUCUAAAAAAAUUUCCAAUAUAUUGUUUCAUGGGUAUACAAAACUACGGAUUUAAUGAAAUUAAUUAGGCGUCCGAAAUUAUAUUAUCCCCAAAUCUGCCGCGGAAGAGAGCCUUCCUAUUUUGUUUAUAUCAAACUACUUACAACCAAUGACAAUCUAACAUGAGCAGUAUCGAAAAUGUUAUGAUAUAAUUUUGAAAAAAUGUGUAGGUUUUGACUCACUAAACAUGACCAAAUCUCACAAACUUUUGUUUUCAUCAACGUUUUCACCAUUUGAAGACGAGAUGCUUUUGUUUCUAUUGGUCCUAAGGGUGGUGAAGGGUACGGUUGAGUGUGUAUCCUCAACUAGAGGACCGUCGGCCCGAGAGCCAUUAUAUUGGGCCACCGUUGACAGUAACUAAAAGGAGUUGGGCUGUCUGAGGUGGUUGGAUGAGGAGAUGAUGAAGGUGGAGUGUUUGGAUGCAGUUUGUCUUUGGAGAAAAGUAUUAUCUUAUAUUGACCAUGUUGUGUAAACGAUUUUGAUAUUUUCGACUAUAUCAACUUAAAUCAAUCGUGAUUAAGAUUUCGAUAGAAAAGCGAACUUAAUUUCCGUAAAGUAUAUGUUAUAUCCUUUUUCCACAAGGUCACAAGAACAUAUUUGAUGUGGCAUAACAAACUUUUUUUCAUUAGCGAUUUGGUACUUCUUUUUAAGGCAUCAUCAAAAGAUAGAGACGGAAGAACAAAUUAAAGAACGGUAUAAAGGCUUAAAGAAGCAACCUGUUGGAUCAGGUUAUUUUUGGGUCAACUGUCAUCUAAUAGUUGAAAAUGAGUCUAAAAAUUGACUUGAAUGGGUGUAAUUUCGGAGUAAAAAAUUGGAAAAAAAUCACAUUAGUGUGGUCAUUGUACGAGCAUGUUAUGUCGCUAAUACGACCAUUUUACGGACUUGUUAUGUCGUUGUUACGUCCACUUUACGAGUAUUUGAAUUCAUCAUCGUUAUGUCCAGUUUACAACUCUUUUAUGUUGGUGAUAUAUACACUUUACGAGUUAAUUAUGUAUUUUUUAUUAUGUCAUUUUAAUAGGCUCGUUAUGUCGUUUUAAUAGGCUCAUAUGUCGACUUCAUAUGUAAAUUAUUAUAUCCACGUUAUAUCAUUAUUACGUCAUUGUGAUAUCCCGUUUAAGUGAAAAGAGUAGAGAGAGGAUAGAGAGAGAAAAGUUGAAAGAGAGAGAAAAUAUAUUUUUAUUCCCUUUAUACUCCUGAUAAAAUUCCAACCGUUAAAUUGAAAGUGGCAAAAAUGAUUCUUGGCUGUUGGAUCGGCUGUCGGAUGCAUCCUAGAGAAUUGGCUCUCGAAGCUAUAAAAAUUUUACGUAAGAGUCCUAAUAAAGAGAAUAGUUGUACCGAAAGAAAACAUACAAAUAAGAACGGGAAAUAAAACUACAUUGUCACUCAAGAUUAAAAACACUCCAAUCGCGUUCAACAAUUCAGAAAAUUUAUUAAACAAGACCGCUGUGUGCGCUUGCAACCAUAUAGAUACGUUGUGAACUCGUGACGUAGGAAGUUAAUAUAGCAUAUUUGACGAGUAUGGUAGCAACUAACUAACGGAAUGGGGAAUGAAAGUAUUGCAAUGUAAGUAAUAAGACUUUGAUCCCUACAUCUUUCGAGCUUUAACUCGGGUGGCCACUUUGAAAUAAAUCCCAAAGUUUAGUUGAGCAUGAAAGUAUACAAAUCCGAAAAAAUAAUAUUGUCUACAGUGUGGUUGACCAGUUGUACUUGUACGUAUCAAGUUAAAAAUUCAAAACUGGGGACCAAACCAUUCGAAGUUUUCGGUAGCGACAAAACAUCGCACAUCAACCUACCUAGCUCUCAAUGGUCAACUCGGAUGAUAUAUUUUAUUUAUUCAUCUUCAUUGAUUCAAUUUCGGGUUUCACAACCUUAUCAAUUCACAUUAAAGGAAAUAAAUUGUUGAAGAAAAUCCAUCCUUAUCAUAUGAUCCUUGUGGUCCUCAUCUUCUCUGUACAAAUCCAGUUUCACUUAAUUACUCUAAUCUUGUCUCUUCUCACUAUUAAUUACCUCUGUGUAUAUAUAUAACUGAUCAUCCCCAGUUGUAGCACUUAGUUGAGUGAAUCAAGUCCGUUUCCCAAAUUUCUCAAAUCUUUGUCAGAAAACAGAGUAAUUUCCAUCAUGACGAAUGCGAUCACCGCCGAUACCGGCGAGAAAUUCAAUUACUAUGCGGCGGCUUGCGCCAUCGUUGCUUCCAUGAUAUCCAUCAUCUUUGGAUAUGGUACUCAACCUUUUUGUUUAAUUAAUCAGUGUCAGAUCAUUAGAUUAAUUUUAACACUAGCUAAUUCAAAAUGUAUGUUUGGUUUCAUAAUAAUUGCAGAUACUGGAGUGAUGAGUGGAGCAAUGAUCUUCAUCAAAGAAGAUUUGAAAAUCCACGACACACAGGUAGAAGUCCUCGCCGGAAUCCUCAACAUCUGCGCCCUCGUCGGCUCCCUCAUGGCCGGACGAAUCUCCGAUUACAUCGGCCGUCGAUACACCAUCAUCACGGCGUCGAUCAUUUUCCUCAUCGGCUCCGUCUUCAUGGGAUGGGCCCCCAACUACGCUAUCCUGAUGACCGGACGGUGCGUCGCCGGAAUCGGAGUCGGAUUCGCGCUCAUGAUCGCCCCGGUCUACUCUGCCGAAGUCUCCUCGGCCAGAUCCCGCGGAUUCCUGACGUCGCUCCCGGAGUGGGGGAUCAGCAUCGGAAUCCUUCUCGGAUACAUCUCCAACGUCCUGUUCGCCAAGCUUCCACUGAAGCUCGGGUGGCGACUCAUGCUCGGAAUCGCGGCGAUUCCGUCGCUGUUCCUCGCGAUCGGGAUCCUGAAAAUGCCGGAAUCCCCGCGUUGGCUGAUACUGCAAGGGAGGCUCGGCGAGGCGAAAGCGAUCCUGAUGAAAGUUUCGAAUUCAAAAGAGGAGGCCGAGAAUCGAUUGCGAGACAUCAAAUCGGCAGCAGGAAUCGACCCGAAUUGCGAGGCGGAGACGGUUGAGAUUCCGAAGAAGGAAUCAGGAGGGAAAGGAGUGUGGAAGGAGCUUAUAUUGAGGCCGACUCCCGCCGUUCGGAUGAUCUUAAUUGCGGCGAUCGGAAUACAUUUCUUCGAACACGCGGUGGGCAUCGAGGCGGUGGUUCUUUACAGUCCGAGGAUCUUCAAAAAGGCCGGAGUGACGAGCAAGCACAAGCUCCUCCUCGCUACCGUGGGAGUCGGAUUGACGAAAUUCACCUUCAUCGUUAUCUCGACGUUUUUGCUGGACCGGGUCGGGCGUCGGAGCCUGCUGUUGUUCAGCAUGACCGGGGUUAUUGGGGCGUUGACUGUACUGGGGACGUGUCUGACGAUUGUUGAGAAGCAUCAGGGGGAGAAACUCGCGUGGGCCCUCGGAUUGAGUAUCGCAUCGACUUAUACAUUUGUGGCAUUUUUCAAUGUCGGAUUGGCCCCGGUCACUUGGGUUUAUAGUUCCGAGAUUUUCCCGUUGAGGUUGAGGGCUCAGGGGUACAGUAUUGGUGUGGCUGUGAAUAGAUUGACGAAUGCGAUAAUUUCGAUGACGUUUAUAUCGUUGUACGAGGCGAUUACGAUCGGAGGGGCAUUCUUUUUGUUCGCGGGGAUAUCGGUGGUCGGGUGGCUGUUUUUCUACUUCAUGUUUCCUGAGACGAAAGGGAGGACGUUGGAGGAAAUGGAAGAGUUGUUUGGGAAAGGGUUCGGGUCGGGUCUUUCUGCAAAUCCUAAAUCCAAUAAAGUGGAAGAUACUGUUUAAAAAUUAUAUUUGUUACUUAAUCAGUAUAGUAUAUAAAUAUAUGGUUUGUAUUCUCAGUCUCAGGAUUUCGGUUACAAUCUUGUUAAUUUAGUUUGAAUACUAGAAGUUUAAUUUUGGUAUGCAUGCAUGUAGAGUUGAUGUUCAAGUGUAAAAGAGGGUUACCAUGAUCUUAAUUAGUCUCUUAAAUUUGAUUAGCCAAUUAUACAUGGUAUAUUUUGUUUUCUACCCAAUUAAUUAUUACAAUUAUUGUAGAUAUUGUUAGAAAGUUUAACUAUUUCCACCCUCCAAAUGUCUUAAUUACAAAGUGAUAAGUGAACCUCAAUUCUAAUGUUAGUACAUCCUUGAUCAUAUUUUAUCCAAUCCCCGUAAAAUAAAAAUAUUUUAUCCAAUCCAUGAAAAUAUCAAAAUACAAACAAAAUUUGCCUCAUGGUCACAAACCAACACACUUACCCUUCUAAUUAAUAUUAAUACAUACUCAAUGGUGUCAUCAGAAUUGAAAUAAUCGAGAAAUCGAAAUGUAAAAUUAAACAUAAAAAAAUACUACUCACGGUCUUUUCAUUAGUCAGAAUAAAUUUGGGUAUGCAACUGACCAUAUUUUUCCAAAUUUAGAUUAUCCUUGGAUCGAUUUUUAUGAUUAUUACUUAUUCGAUAAAAAAUUGAAAGAAGACUUAAAUCGAAAUAAAAGAAAAGCAAUGUGAGUCAACCUUCAGCCUACUUGGUCUUGUGCACAUGGACCUUGUGAAAAUGUUCGAAACUAAUUAAUCCUUGUCUCCAAUUCCGACAUUUAAUAUAUGAAGAAAUGGUAUAAAAAUAUUGGGUGAAGGAUACUUGCUAUAAAAUUAUGCAACUCGUCAACAGACAAGGGUAUUAAUUAACGUUAAUGACAAGACGUCAGGUAUCUUGUCUACUGUUAAUCAUACUACAACUUGAUCAGUCAAUUGCAAGAGAUAGGACCAACAGGAGUUGUAAACUAAUAAAAAUAACGAAGAGAAGACCGAAUUAAGUACGUUCAACUGGAAUUUGAGGCAGUGGUAUGCCAAAUUGAGAUAGACACGAAAUGAAGUAAUGACUCAGAUUUUAGUCAGUGACUGCUUAAUUUCGUUGACUACGUGCAUGCAUGAGUUUGCAUUUUACUCACUACCACACUGUUUUGUUUUUAAAUCGGUGCCAACUCCAAAGUCCAAAUGAGUAUAUCUCGCUGGAAAUUUUAUUCAUCCAGUAUGGAUACUCAUGGGCCCAUUGGUGAAGGCCAAGAUAUGAGUUAGCCGCCCCGUAGUUGACCGUUCCAAGGGUUAACAGCUCCAGGGGUUGACCUUCUAAGGCGUCUUAAGUGGACUGGUUGCCAACCGUAGUUGAAAGGCUUAAUUUGUCACAACUUGAUUAUCAUUUGAGGAUAAAUGUUACGUCACGUCAAAACCGUCUUAAUUCAAUGAUUUAGAUCGUUCAAAUAAUAUCAACUGCUAAAAUGAUGUCCCGCUAACCGACUCCAAUAUUAUAAAUAUACUCUUGACAUUUGUGUAAAAAGACAAGUUAUCAUGAUUAUCAAUAGAACAUUUCCCUUAUUAUGUAUUUUUUUAUUUUUUUUUAUUUUUAUCUUACCUUUACUCUCAUAUCAUACCUUUGAACUUACUAUUACACGUCACAUAUAUUACAAAGAACCCUUAUAAAUAUUGGAUUAGUAAAAAAUAUCAGGCCGAACUCAAACAAUGAAAAAUCUAAUACCUCUAUUAUUCUAAAAGAUUAAAAAUUCAAUGGAAAAAUGCUUUUUCGAGAAGAAUUACAUGAAUCUUAACUAGCUCUUUCAAUCUGUUUAACUAUCUCAGAUUGGUUUCGAUUUUGUAACAUCAAUUCAUACUUUGAUUCAUUAAUGAGAUUUUCCAUUUUUCGAAAAGAAAAAUCAUGGUGGGAAAUGUGAUUGAAAUAGAAAGAAGUUAGAAGUAUCUCUGCGAUAAUUGUGUGAAAUCUAAAGUUGAGUGACCAUGAUGUACAACCCUAAACCUUUGGAGACUGCCAACGUAUUUGACCCAAAAGGUCUGGCAAUUUUGACUCCGUUCUUCCUCAGUAGCGCUCAGCAGCUCCCGCCUGGAAAGAAAUGAAGUGCCCCUACUGCUCAUCCCCGCAGGGCCGGUGUUCGACGACGUCCACCGGCCGAUCAAUCACCGAGUGCACUUCCUGUGGCCGCGUUGUCGAGGAGCGUCAAUUUCAAACUCACCAUCUCUUCCACAUUCGAGCCCAAGACAAUCCACUCUGCCUAGUCACCUCCGACCUUCCCUCUGUCCCCCACGACCACCUUCAACGGCACCAAAAAACAGCCGACCAAGGGCCCGACGAUGAAAAAGAAGAAGAAGAAGAUCCUUUCGAGCCGACAGGAUUCAUCACCGCCUUCUCUACCUGGUCUCUCGAGCCAACCCCGCUCUCUCUCCGCUCUUCCCUCUCCUUCUCCGGCCACCUGGCGGAGCUCGAGCGCGUCCUCGAAUUGACCACGGGAUCGUCGGCCAGCGCCUCUGCGUCAAAUAAUUCCAACUCGUCGACGGUCGUGAUUUAUAAUUUUAGAGCCUAUAUUCAGAUAAUACCUAUAUGCAGAUAAUCGAUGUAGCUUCCAUUCUAGGGUUGGAUUCAGAUAUAUCCGAUCACGCUUUCCAGCUUUUUAGGGAUUGUUGCUCUGCUACUUGCUUGAGAAACCGCAGUGUAGAAGCACUUGCCACCGCCGCCCUCGUUCAAGCCAUUCGAGAGGCUCAGGAACCUCGAACUCUCCAGGUUAGGGUUUCUCUUGUUCUCUUUCUUCCCUCAGCCUUCAUUUCUAACAAUAGUCUCUAUGAACAUAUGUGAAAUUUGUGAAUGUGGCAGGAAAUCUCGAUUGCUGCGAAUGUGCCACAGAAGGAGAUUGGAAAGUACAUCAAGAUUCUAGGAGAAGCUCUGCAGCUUAGUCAACCCAUUAACAGCAACUCUAUCUCUGUUCAUAUGCCCAGAUUCUGCACCCUUCUCCAACUCAACAAAUCUGCUCAGGUAAUAAUUAUGCUCAACUUCACGAAUGAUUUCUAUCUGUUUGCUGGAAAGACUUCAACAUGGCACUGAACAAUGUUGAUAAUGAAUUGAAAGAUCGUGAAUUUGGUGUGCUUGCUGAAUAUUGUAGGAAUUGGCCACGCACAUAGGGGAAGUGGUCAUAAACAAGUGUUUCUGCACACGAAGAAACCCCAUUAGCAUAUCAGCUGCAGCCAUAUAUCUGGCAUGCCAGUUAGAAGACAAGAGAAAGACACAAGCGGAGAUUUGUAAGGUUACAGGGCUUACUGAGGUUACACUGAGGAAAGUAUACAAGGAACUUUUGGAGAACUGGGAUGAUCUGCUCCCUUCAGAUUAUACUCCAGCUGUCCCUCCAGAGAAAGCCUUUCCCACCACUAUAUUUAUUUCAGGACGUUCAGUGGGGGCUAGAGCUGAGCCACUCGACCUAAUGUCUUCAGACAAGCCCAAUAACGAGCCUAUGUCCCGUGGUAAAGAAACGAAUGAAGGCAAUGGAAGUUCACAGGGUGUCCCUAGCCCUGCAUGGCAUAGUUUCAGGCAGCCAUGGGUUCAGUUUACUACAACACCAGGAGAUACCAGUGCUUCUCAGUCUAGUCGUUUGGAGCUGGAUGAUAAAGAUAAGCACAAGAUGGACACUUCAGCUGGUGUUAGGGGAAACCAAUUUCCAACUACGCCUUCUUCGUCGAGUGUGAGUACGAUCACUUGGCCGUUUCGGUCAACUUCUUCUACA